rnacentral:SRP_RNA from 2 species
GCCAGGCAUGGUGUCGCAUGCCUGUAAUCCCAGCUACCCAGGAGGCUGAGGCAGAAGAAUCACUGGAACCCGGGAGGCAGAGGCUGCAGUGAGCUGAGAUCAAGCCACUGCACUGCAGCCUGGGUGACAGAGUGAGACUCCGUCUCAA